AAGGGCGACGCCGCGCGACGGACGUUACGCGCGUCGCGGAGGGAGCAGAAGUGGUUGGGUUUCGUGUUUGCUUAAGUCUGUCGCUCCCGGCUAGCCCGACCCGACCGCGGCGCCUUCCUGCAGGUAGCGGACUCCCAGGAGCCAGUGGAGCCUACAUUGCGAAGCUGAGCUGGGCCCGUGUCUGAUUCCGGUUUCUCUUGAGCGCGUCUCGGAGCCGGCCCAGAACAGAGGGAAGCCAGACCUACGCCAUACCCGGCCCAACAGUGGUAGGGCGGCUGCGGGUGCUGGUCAAGCUGGGUCUGCGGGCACUGAGUGAGGAUCAGCAAAUCCUCAGUGGAUGAAAUAUUUGCAGUGCGGUGAGGCGAAGGAGUGAGGCUGAGAUUGACUUGAAGGCUUCAAAACCAGCUAAGCAAAGGAUCACUAGGAUCAUGACAGAAACGUGAAGACGGAAAAAGAGAGUCUGAGUCGAAAGCCGGUUUUGAAAGCCAAAGUAAUACAGAUGUUGGAGUCUAGAUAUGGGACCUAGGAAUUGGGACAGAUCCUCCAAUCCCAGAGGUAAUGAGUGGAACCUUUUUUAUUCAUUUUUGCAACAAGUAUUGAGCAGCAAUGCAAAUUAAAACUAAGGAUGUACCACGUUACACUUAACAGAUUGGCAAAAACUUAAAAAUCUGUCUUUACCAAACUUGAUAAGAAUGUGGAUUUGUGAGCAGAGCAGAACUCGUGCACUGCCGGUAGGAGAACACAUUCAUUCACUAAUUUUGGAUGGCCACUUAGCAAUUUCUAGCAAAAACACUCUAUAACUUAACAAUUCCACUCUUAGUAUGUGCUCUAGAGUACCUUGCCUCCGCAUGCAGAGACAAGAAUGUUCAGUGCAGUGUUGCUCCUAGUGGUAGUUGGAGUCUGGGGGAGAAGCAACCAAAAUGCCAUCUAUGGCAGAAUCGAUAACUUGCACAGUUACGUAGUAGAAUACCAUAAAUUAGUAACAAUGAUUACAUACAUCAACAUAAGUGAAUUUCACAAACUGUGGGGUUGUUUUUGAAAUGGGGCUUACUAUGUUGCCCAGGCUGGCUGCAAAAUCCUGGGCCCAAGUGAUCCUCCUCAAGCUUCCUGAGUAGCUGAGUACAGAUGCGAGCACUACUGCACCUGGCUCCACAGUGCUGAAUGAGAAAAAGUUGAAUAUGAAUUCACAUGGUAUGAUACCAUUUAGUACUAUUUUCUUUUAAAGAAUGAGAAUACGGCCAGGUGUGGUGGCUCAUGCCUGUAAUCGCAGCACUUUAGGAGGCUGAGGCAGGAGGAUCCCUUGAGCCCAGGAGUUUGAGGCUGUAGCAAGCUAUGAUCAUGUCACUGCACUCCAGCCUUGGCGAUAGUGCAAAACCCUAUCUCAAAAAAAAAACAACGUAAAAGAUAAAUUCAGGAGAGUGGUUGCCUAUAG